ACCAGAGGAGGGAAGGUCUGCAGACUGUGGCUUGCCAACUUCUUAUGGUCGAGAGGACGAGGUUACUCGUCUUUCGAGCCCAUUUAACCCUAAACCGGUUCCCAUUUGGGAGAAAGUUACUAGAAACAAAACUGUAGGGUGUUUAUCCACGGCUUUCCCUAUCAAAUGAAGCCUGUGAUGCCUAAGGAAGCCGCAGUCUUGCUCAGACGGUUGGUUACUAGGAGGGUUGGUAGGGGUUGUUAUGGUGUAGUGCGCUGCGCAUGCAACGAUUGUCCUCGCCCUCGUAUAUUCCCCUCCUCUUUU
rnacentral:telomerase_RNA from 1 species